GAUAAACGCUGGCGGCGUGCCUAACACAUGCAAGUCGAACGAAGUGGCGAACGGGUGAGUAACACGUGAGUAACCUGCCUUACACAAGGGGAUAGCCUUUGGAAACGAAGAAUAAUACCCUAUAGUGUAAGAUGGACUUGCGUCUGAUUAGCUAGUUGGUGAGAUAAAGGCCCACCAAGGCAACGAUCAGUAGCCGGCUUGAGAGAGUGUACGGCCACAUUGGGACUGAGACACGGCCCAAACUCUACGGGAGGCAGCAGUAUGGAAUUUUGCACAAUGGGGGAAACCCUGAUGAAGCGACGCCGCGUGAUUUAGAAGGCCUUCGGGUUGUAAACUUCUUUAGACAGGGACGCGGUACCUGUAGAAUAAGCCACGGCUAACUACGUGCCAGCAGCCGCGGUAAUUC
rnacentral:rRNA from 1 species